UAAUGAGGGACAGGAGUGUAAGGAUGUGGAGGAUCAAAUGAUUGGCAGAAGCAGGAACACACUGGACUGGUCUGAAAUGGCAGCUGAAGCAAAUCAAGAGCCAACCACCACCUAUCCACCCAAAGAAACUCCAACAUCCCACAAACCCUUGCUCCUUUAAUAGGAAAUGCUACACACAGGCCCAAAGCCUGCAGCCAGCAGAGUUUCAGAUGAGAAGCUUGUAUAAUCCUGAGGAUCAUGAAAUCCUCAAGAACAACUGGAUAAAAAGGACCAUAUACAGAGGAAGACUGGUUACACAGUUACACAGGAUCUUUUGUCUUCAUCAGAAAACAGCACAUGGGGAAUUUGCACGGGUGUUAGCUGCAGAAGAACUGACAGUACAAAGAUAAUAGAGACUACAGAAGUGCUUUCUGCUCAAGCUUUAAUGGACUUGGACUACCGAUGUUAUUGUUACAUUUAGCAUGUACAUGCUCUGUGUUGGUUCACACAGUCACAAGUGCAUUGGCUUAUCUGCCCUUUCUUACUACAUAUCCUGUGCCUCUUUUUUUCUCAGUAAAUGUGACAUGUAAGUGUGACAAAUGUCAUGCGAGUCUGUGAGAGCAAAAGUUGUGAUGCCUUGCCUUGCAUACAGUUUAGGAAGUCCAUCAGUUCACAUCUGACAAAAAAUGUUGCUUAUGAAUGCUUUAAGUUUGUAAUUUCUUACAAAAGAUUAAGACACAUUGAUUUAUGUUUAAGUUUUGAUGUCACUCAAAGAAGACUGUAGAAAAUAUUGGAAUACUUUUGACUUUGUUCAGGGAAGUUUGGCGCUCAGCCUGUGCUGCUGCCUCUGUGCCCUCUGGGUUAAUGACAGGUUUGUCUCACACAACAUAUAAUCGCUGGCAGUUCGCAGCGCAAACGCGUCAUUCAGUGACUCAGAGUGAAAUUUUGUGUUCAUUCGUCUCCCCCAGACAAAAGAAGCUGCUAUUCCCCUUUGGUGUGAGAAAAGUUAAAUGACUCUUAUUCAACACUUUCCAGGAGUCUCUGAUACAUACUGGAUGAGGAUGAAGAUGUGUGAUGUUUUACAGAGAAAUAAAUAUGCUCAAAAUUUAAUUACUUACUUGGAGAGAAUGUCAAGACUGAGUGCUGUACAACAUCAGAUCUCUGACUGUCUAACUGCAGCAGCUCUUCAUACACUGGAUGCAGGCCACGCUUAGCCUGUAUGUAUGUGUAUUUUGGUGGCCUGUGGGCUUUUAUAAUCUACAAUUAAAACCUACCCAUGGUGGGUAUUUUAGGGGCAGAUUCUACUAUUUCCAGACUCGUUUUAGGGCGACCACUACUAAAGUGGCCAACUAAAAUAAAUAAAUUAAGAAUUGUUUCCCAAUCCCAGAAUUGUAUUCCGUGUGGAAAAAGGUUGGAAACAGCAUUUAUACUUUCACAUGUUAAAUAAGAUGUACACAACAUGUUCAUAAUUUGACAGUUCAGUAAUUAAAUAAAAUAUUUUAAAAAAAAGUUACA